UCUGGAAAACCCCACUACGAUUCUGGAAAACCAUUUUGUUGUCAUCACAAUAUUAAGACACAAAAUAAGGAGACAUUGGUGCCCGAGCCCAGCUGAACCUGAUAUCUUCACCUUCCAUUCUGCGCUCGGGAUCCAUGAAAAGAGGUCUGCCGUGUCAGGCGCGGAUCGCAGAAAAUAGGCAGCGAGGCGAAAUACGGUAGGAAACAGUGCGCUAGCAGUCGGCCAGGGGCGUGCGUUUUUGACGGAGCAGGCGCGGGCGUGAACUGGUCCGUGGACCAGGACGUUAGUGUUUUUGCGUUUCAUGGAUCAGAUAAGGGGAACAGGCCGGUGCCGAGAAACUGAGCCGUCCGUCUCACACGUUUGCGACACACGUGCGUCUCGGUCGUUCUGAAAAACCCUUGCCGCCCAACCACCCCCGGCCGCCAGACCACGCUGCGACGACCGGCAAGAGUAUUUCUUGCGGCGGCGAUAGCUGGUCGACGGCAACCGCUACGUGAGCGACAUGGAAGAUGUUGGAUUGGACUUCUUCCUUGAUGCCAUUGACAGGUUCCGCUUGCAGGAAUUCGCGGACAGCCACGAACACCCAGAUCCGGUUCCUCUGAUUUGUUGGCGAGCGGCAGAGUAGGAGCGACGGCCCCUGCUGAUUCCAAUGCUUGCUCCGGUUGUGGUCAGCAGAUCCGCGGCGACGGCAGCGAAGCUGCGCGUGCUGGGGUCCGGCGAUGACAGGAGUCAUCCCCGACGAGGUCCACAGUCCACCGACAGAGUCAAUCCCCAGGCCCCUCUGGUUGCACAAAAAGGCUGAGGCUCGGUAGCACCCUCCCUGAUAGAACCCCUUGCGCUUCCCGGAUGAGUGUGCUGGUGUGAUUCGGAAAUUUGUGGAGAAACCAAUAAAAGUGUGAUCAAGCCUGAGCUGGGAUCAAACUUUGACUCCCUCGGCAAGGCGUACAAUUUCUACAAUUGUACUUGUGGGAAGUGGGAUUCGGGAUAAGAUAUUAUAAAAGCAGAUUGAACGCGGAGAGGGAGAAAUCAAUGUAGGAAAUUAUGUGUGAAUGCUCACGAAAGCCUAAAGUCGGGAACAACCGGUCUUGCAGAUGUGAGUGUCCGACGCUGAUCAGGCUCCUGAGUGUCAGACAUCAGUUGUUUCUUAACAGAGCAUCGUGAGAAACAUAACCACUCAAUGUCUCUCAUGAUGGGAGAGAAAGUGCAUUAGCCAUCAGAAAGUUGUGAACCACAUGCUCACAGUAGACGAGAUUGAAAAUGCCUGGACUAUAUUGAUGGAAAAGUAUAAUCUGAAACAGCACCCAUACAUGAUAGAGUUAUAUGAAAUCAGGACCAAGUGGGUGAAGCCUUAUAUCAAGGGGGUUCUCUGUGCAAGAAUGACAAGCACACAACACAACAAGAGUGCUAAUAAUAUGCUGAAAACGUAUAUGCCUCGUGCCAUUGCAGUGCACAUGUUUGUGAGCCAGUACAUAUGGCUCCAGUUUGACCGUGAACGCGAUGAGAGCUACAAGGAGAAAAGAACAAGGAUUUUAAGUCAGUGUCUUCCCUUCUCUGUCAUUUGAUCAGGUAUUUCAGAGUGCUCUAACAAUUGUCUCCUUGUGCAGAGUGGAGCAAGGAUUGUAAGUCAGUGUCUUCCCUUCUGUCAUUUGAUCAGGUGUUUCAGAGUGCCCUAACAAUUGUCCCCUUGUGCAGAGUGUAGCCGUGCGGCGUAUAAACCCUGUGAUCGAGAGGCAUGCAAUCAAGGUUUAUACUCGAGACAUGUUCUAGUAGUUUGGUCAGUUCCUUGUUGAGGGAACUGCAUAUAGUGUGACUGAGAUUGACUAUAAGGGUAAGAAGUAUGUGACGACAUAUAACCAUGCGACCAACCGGGAGAAGUGGAGUAGCGUAGUCUACAAGGUGAGAAUAAAAGAUGACGGCACUGAAUACGAGUGCGAGUACGGACAAUUUGAACACAUGGGAAUAUUUUUGCUGCCAUGUGCUCAGGUUAAUGGUCAUGUCGCAUAUUUUGCUGUUGCCCAUACUAACAUGUGAAAAUGACCCAACACUUGAAUGAUAAAGCUUACACGGGCUCUCUGUUUUUGAUUGCGCAGGUGAUGGACGUAUUGAAUUUGGCUGAAAUACCGGAUAAGCACAUUGUUAAGUGUUGGAAAAAAGACGCGGGGGAUAUACUACCCAGACAUCUGGUCCAUUACCAGAAGAAUGAGGCAGUGAACCAUUCAUUCACUUGUAGGCACUCCACAGUGACCUACAAGCGAUUGAUAUUGUUAGAAUGAGUGAUGAGAGUGCGGAAGAGUUUGAUCGCAUGUUGAGGAAAUGAAAGCAGUAAUGCUGAGUUGUGCUCCUUUGGCUGAGAAGAGGGAUGAGCCCGAUUUUGAAGACCAGCAGGCAACAUAAUCUGCCUGAAGGAAUGCCGGUAAUGGCUAGGUUGCCGCAAUAGGAGAUGGUAGUCCUACUGAAAAGCAUAGUUUGGGAUUCUCCGGUGGUGUAAAUGCAUGGCAGGGACUAGCGCCAGCGGCAAAGGCAGAGGGGAGCUGGUAGGCUGACAAACAGCUGUUACAAGGCUCCUUGCGAGGGUUUGAGCGAGCGGACGGGAUUCUGCAGGAUCUGCCGAAGGCAAGGGAACAAGAGAACAACUUGCCCUGAACGCGGGGAUGCCCCGAAGCAGCCUCACAAACUCGGGAAGUGCAAGAAUUGUGGAGUUGAGGAGCACAUGCGUAACAGUUGCACAAGGCCUCUGCGCGACAAUUGGUGGAAAGAAUAAGAUGAGGUUUAUAUUUGUAUGAUUCCAUUAGCAUUUGAGGAUUUUCUAGCAGUGCUUGUGUAUGCAUGGCUUAGAAAGCAUAUGUGAGAGUGCAAGUAAAUGAUGAUACACUGUUGCAUUUAGUGGGUGAGUGUUUCAAUUUGAAAAUUGAACUUGGGUUGCACUGAAUGCAGUUUCAAUAUUUUUUUUUUGAACUUGCAGUUUCAAAAUUUGAAUGAAUGGAAGCCAACGUGUAUAGAGCUAUAAGAGGAGGGAGGGUGGGUCUGCUUUGGUACGUGACCGUUAGGGCCUAAUCAGGCUUGCACGGCUCAGUCCGGCUCAAAUCUUUUCCUGGACCGUGCCAAAACUACUGAGCCGCUGAACCCAUUUGCUGUCCUACUCUAUUUUCCUUUUAGAAUACAAGCUACAUACACACCAGAAUACUACUAAAGGCCCAAAUCCCCAUGCACAUUAAGGAUGAUGAUAUCAGGUGCAUCUGAGCAUGGGCUCAGAAUUGAGUUUUCGGACAAACACAUCUCUAUUUUUUUCUUUUCAGGAACUUGAUGAGUAUAUAGCUUACAAGCAGACCAGUUGUGAUCUGUGAAUGGUUGCAGCAUA